UACGGGGGGGGCAAGCGUUGUUCGGAAUUACUGGGCGUAAAGGGCUCGUAGGCGGCCAACUAAGUCGGAUGUGAAAUCCCUCAGCUUAACUGGGGAACUGCGUCUGAUACUGGAUGGCUUGAGAUUGGGAGAGGGAUGCGGAAUUCCAGGUGUAGCGGUGAAAUGCGUAGAUAUCUGGAGGAACACCGGUGGCGAAGGCGGCAUCCUGGACCAACACUGACACUGAGGAGCGAAAGCCAGGGGAGCAAACGGG
rnacentral:rRNA from 1 species